AUGGAAGUGGUGAACAAGUUUUUGGGUAAUCUGAUCCGUUGCAUUUGUGGAGAAAGAAAGGGACAAUGGGAUUUGGCUUUAUCUCUUGCAGAAUUCUCCUACAAUAACUCCAAGCAUAGAUCCAUAGGAAGGAGCCCUUUUUCCAUUGUCUACACUAAAGUUCCAUCACAUGUGGUGGACCUGGUGAAGCUACCAUCAAGGGGAAACUCAAAAUCAGCAUUGUCCUUUGCUGACAAUUACACCGAGUUAUUUGAAGAGAUUCACAAAAUCGGAAAUAUAAACAACUUGCUGAUUGCAAAAAGAGGCCAAAAUCAUUCCAAGUUGGUGAUAAGGUGA
rnacentral:rRNA from 1 species